rnacentral:rRNA from 1 species
ACGGAGGGUGCAAGCGUUAUCCGGAUUUACUGGGUUUAAAGGGUGCGUAGGUGGGUCUGUAAGUCAGUGGUGAAAUCUCCGGGCUUAACCCGGAAACUGCCAUUGAUACUAUAGGUCUUGAAUAUUCUGGAGGUGAGCGGAAUAUGUCAUGUAGCGGUGAAAUGCUUAGAUAUGACAUAGAACACCAAUUGCGAAGGCAGCUCACUACGGGAUUAUUGACACUGAGGCACGAAAGCGUGGGGAUCAAACAGGAUUAGAUACCCUGGUAGUCCACGCCCUAAACGAUGGAUACUCGACAUCAGCGAUACACUGUUGGUGUCUGAGCGAAAGCAUUAAGUAUCCCACCUGGGAAGUACGAUCGCAAGAUUG